rnacentral:rRNA from 1 species
GAUGAACGCUGGCGGCGCGCCUAACACAUGCAAGUCGAACGAUUAAAGCACCUUCGGGUGUGUAUAAAGUGGCGAACGGCUGAGUAACACGUGGGCAACCUGCCCCUUUCAUUGGGAUAGCCACGGGAAACCGUGGAUAAUACCGAAUACUUCGAGACUUCCGCAUGGAAGACUCGAGAAAGCUCCGGCGGAGAGGGAUGGGCCCGCGGCCUGUUAGCUUGUUGGUGGGGUAACGGCCUACCAAGGCAAUGAUGGGUAGCUGGGUUGAGGGACCGACCAGCCAGAUUGGGACUGAGACACGGCCCAGACUCCUACGGGAGGCAGCAGUGGGGAAUCUUGCACAAUGGGCGAAAGCCUGAUGCAGCGACGCCGCGUGCGGGAUGAAGGCCUUCGGGUUGUAAACCGCUUUCAGCAGGGACGAGGCGAAAGUGACGGUACCUGCAGAAGAAGCCCCGGCUAACUACGUG